UUCACGCUAAGGCGCUACGAACUGAAUUUGAAUCGACGAGGAAAUCUCAUCACUGAAUUGGAUGUAAAACGUGCGACGAAGAUCGUAAUGCGUUAGCCGCACGAGUUCAGCAUUUCUCAGCUCUCAGCUAUAUGCUGAGCAGCAGCAAAUCAUGAUACUCUGCCAAUUGGUAUUAAGAAGCGAUUGCGAUGCCCCGGAUUACGACGACUAUUUAACAGUUUCAAGAAGUUGGGAAAUUGUAUCUUACGAUUGGUCGACGAAUACAAUACAUCGCAAACUUGUGCAAAAUGUGUCCGGCCAUUCGGUCGACGAACCAAAAGCGAUCGUUACAAAGUUUGUCAGCAUUGUAUUCCAAGUGAAGAUGAGUCAUCGCAAUGGAAUUUACCGAACGUGAUUAUCACCAUGAAAAGCAACCGAAUAUGCAGUUGAUUUUGUUAAUCGAUUGAGUGCAGCCAACCCAGAUUCCAAUGGAUUCAGAUGGUUUAGUGUCAAAACUUUAAGUAUUCUUCAAAAACUGGCAACUAAACACAUGGCAUUUGGAAAAAUGAUCGAGCUCCAUUUCAAUUGAAAACUGUUUGGCAUCGGGAUAUCGUUGCAGCCAAGAACAUCAUCUACAAAGAUUUUUGUACGGUGUUGGGAUUGGACAUUCAUCCGCAACUAUUGAGACCACAGAAUCAAAAUGCUGCCGUACAAAAUCAAGCAGCUGACGAUGAGGAUUCUAGUGACGACGAGGACUACGUUUAUGUUCUCGAUGAUUCCGAUGACGACCAGUUUUAAUUACAUGUAGCAUUAAGAUUUCUUUUUAAGCAAUAUUAUUGUAACGUUUUGUUCCUAAGCUGGGCUUGAGUUUUGUGGCCUUGACCGAAGUACGGCAGUUCGGUAUAUAAAAUAACCCGUAGCCAACCAUGGAUAGAAAAACAUAAGGGAAAACAUAGCAGUAUUAUCUAAUAUUUUUAUUCCACUCCUAAC